AUUGAACGCUGGCGGCAGGCCUAACACAUGCAAGUCGAGCGGAGCGGCGGACGGGUGAGUAAUGCCUAGGAAUCUGCCUGGUAGUGGGGGAUAACGUCAGGAAACGGGAGCUAAUACCGCAUACUAUAAGAUGAGACGAGGUCGGAUUAGCUAGUUGGUGGGGUAAAGGCCUACAAAGGCGAGGAUCCGUAACUGGUCUGAGAGGAUGACCAGCCACACUGGAACUGAGACACGGUCCAGACUCCUACGGGAGGCAGCAGUGUGGAAUAUUGCACAAUGGGCGCAAGCCUGAUGCAGCCAUGCCGCGUGUAUGAAGAAGGCCUUCGGGUUGUAAAGUACUUUCAGCGGGGAGGCGUUACCCGCAGAAGAAGCACCGGCUAACUCCGUGCCAGCAGCCGCGGUAAUAC
rnacentral:rRNA from 1 species